AUGUGGAGGAGAUCUGCAAAUAGUGAGCUACAUAUCUCACAAGUGCCAAACCACUCUCCAUCAUAUUUGAAACAUAAUAGCUGUCAGACAAAGUUCCUGGUGACUGGAAAAAGGGAAACAUCACUCUCACUUUUAAGAAAGGGAGAAAGGAAUAUCCAGGGAACUACAGGCCAGAGAGUCUCAUGGUUGUGCCUGAGAAGAUCAUAGAACAGAUCUUCCUGGAAGAGAUGUAAAGAAACAUGCAAGAUGAGGAGGUGACCUGAGAAAGCCAGCACAGCUUCACCAAGGGCAGAUCAUGCUUCACCAAUCUGGUGGCCUGGGUAAGAGAAGGCUCUGAGAAGACCUCAUUGCAGCCUUCCAGUACUUAAACUGGAACUAAACUUUUUACACAGUCUGAUAGUGAAAGGAUGAGGGAGAAUGGCUUUAAAUUGAAAGAGAUGAAAUUUAGGUUAGAUGUAAAGGGGAAACUCUUUACUCAGAGGAUGGUGAAGCACUGGAAGAGGUUGUUCAGAGAAGCUGUGGAUGCCACAUCCCUGGAAGUGUUCAAUGCCAGGCUGGAUGGGACCCUGGGUAGUCUGAUGUAGUGAGUAACAACCAGCCCACAGC
rnacentral:lncRNA from 1 species